AGCGAACGCUGGCGGCAGGCCUAACACAUGCAAGUCGAACGGACCCUUCGGGGUUAGUGGCGGACGGGUGAGUAACACGUGGGAACGUGACCUUUGGUUCGGAAUAGGCUCGGGAAACUGGGUCUAAUACCUAAUGUGCACUAAGGGGGGAAGAUGUAUCGCGAAAGGAGCGGCCCGCGUCUGCUUAGCUUGUUGGUGAGGUGAAGGCUCACGAAGGCUACGAUCAGUAGGUCGUCUGAUAGGAGGAGCAGACACAUUGGGGCUGAGACACGGCCGAGACUCCUACGGGAGGCAGCAGUGGGGAAUCUUGCGCAAUGGGGGAAAGCCUGACGCAGCCAUGCCGCGUAAAUGAUGAAGUUCUUAGGAUUGUAAAAUUCUUUCACCGGGGACGAUAAUGACGGUACCCGGAGAAGAAGCCCCGGCUAACUGCGUGCCAGCCGCCGCCGUAACAC
rnacentral:rRNA from 1 species